CUGCGCUCCAAAUUCUCUCUCUUUUGUUCUGGUCUUGUUGCAAAGUCAAGCAAACAGUUCCUUUUUCAAUGAUGGUC
rnacentral:tRNA from 1 species